rnacentral:tRNA from 1 species
GGGCUUGUGGUUUAGUGGUAUAAUACUCCCUUAGCACCAACGAGGAUCCAGCAACGGUGAGGUUCACGGUCUGAUCUGAGUCCCUCUAGCUUGGGAGUGGUCCGGGGUUCGAUUCCCCGCGAGUCCA